rnacentral:rRNA from 1 species
ACGGAGGGUGCGAGCGUUAAUCGGAAUUACUGGGCGUAAAGCGCGCGUAGGCGGUUUGCUAAGUCAGCUGUGAAAGCCCCGGGCUUAACCUGGGAAUUGCAGUUGAUACUGGCAGGCUAGAGUACGAGAGAGGGAGGUAGAAUUCCAUGUGUAGCGGUGAAAUGCGUAGAUAUAUGGAGGAAUACCAGUGGCGAAGGCGGCCUCCUGGCUCGAUACUGACGCUGAGGCGCGAAAGCGUGGGUAGCAAACAGG